CACGAUCUAGACUCCUCCCCUCCCCCGCCGCCACCCACCUCCACCACCCACCCCUCUCCUCGCCGCCACCCACCUCCGCCACACCUCCCCUCCCCACCUCAGAUCCUCUCCCCACUCCCAGAUCCAACUUGCCACCGUAGAACGAGGAGAUCGCGGCCAAGAUCUUCGGGACGCGCUGGUCGUCGUCGCCAACCGCUCCUCCGCCGACCCGCACAAGUUCCCUGGUGCUAAGGUACCUCGAGGAGUUCGUGCAGCGGUUCGACCUCCUCGGGUUGGUCCGGUUCGGGACGGAGGUGGUGAGCGUCCGCCGCAGCAGGGACGACGACGCGGGCUGGAGGGUGAGGCUCGCCUGCGCUGGCAGCGAGCUGGAGGAGGAGGUUUGACGCCGUGGUCGUCUGCAGUGGGCACUUCGCCGAGCCGUGCGUGGCCGCCAUCGCAGGUUAGUGAGCAGCAUCAGGAGGAGGAGCUCAAACAGGCCACCACGAUGCACCACCGCAGCAGCAGGUGGGUGGCGUCUGGUACAUGUAAUGGGUUUGCCGCCAAUAUCAUUUCUGAGUUUCCGGUUGCCGUGACCACAGCUGCUACCACAUACUUGCCGUUGAUGGGAGUCAUUUUUUGUUGACUCAUUUGGAUUUCAAUGCAACCCAUGACGAUGGUAUUGCGGCACAUGGCACCGGAGCUGAGCCUGGGCAUGAGGAGCAACGGCUAUGUGCGGGUCCUCGACCUGCUCGGCCUCAACCUGCAGACCUUCGCCAAGGUUCCCCUCAAGUCCCACAUGGUGGAUGAAAUCAGGGAGGCGGUCAGGUGAGAUAGCAAGGAGAGGUUCAAUCUGUUGGAGUAGGAUGGCGAGCUGCUGAUUCAGGUUAACCAGGUGCACACUGUGGCAGUAUGAUUUCUGCCUGACCCUCCAGACCGUGGAGAAGCAGAGUCGGCCGCUGGCGGGGGACGUGGGCAACGACCAGAUCGUCGUCCUCUUCAAGUUAGGCCCUGUUCGGCAAGCCUCCGCUCCUUCAGCGCGGAGUGGAGCGCGCGGAGUGGCCCUUGGGCGACUCUGAAAAUUUUAACUGGACGCUGCUCCGCUCCAGCGUGGAGUUGGAGUGGGGAGAGAGUCCGAACAGGCUCUUAAUAGUAACACUAAUAAUCACAUGUACCCUUCUUUAUGAUUUGAUUGCACAUGAUUGGGCUGUGCUUCCUCUGAUUACAUUCAGAAUUGUUUGAUGUUAAUGAUGAUGAUAUAUUGGGAGCAUUACUUUCACCUACAAUAAUUGGCUCAGUUUAAUAUAGUAUAACCGACAGAACAUCUACAAAUCCAGUCAUGAUUGCUUUGUACUGUUAAGAACAAAGACUCAUUUUGACUGUGUGUUUUUUGUUUGUGCUAUCCUGUAUUGAAUGAAUUCAAUAAAGUUCUCAUAAAUUCUGCCUGGCCUUCUACUAGUCCAAAUCUGAAGUAGUAUUACUAAUGUUGUUAAGUUGUCUAAACAUGCUUGCUGCUAGCUUUAAAGUUGAUCUAAAGAACCAUUCAUGCAUUUACACAUUCAUGAUUUCCUACUCUGUUUGUAAUUGUUCUGGUUAAUUGUGCUAGUAGAUAUUGCCUGGGAUAUGUAGCGGGUGUCUGUUGUGUCAUGUUACUUCCUUAGUUUUCAGUACAUGGUACAUAUAGAGAUGCGUACAGUAGUUAUAAGAGCCAAUCGUGGUGAGAGAGUAUUAUUUCUUCCUCAUACUAAUAUCUGGUUUACAAUGUGGCGAGAGAUUGUCAAGUUUGUAAGCUUUUCAUCCCACAACCCUUUUCCUUCUCAUAUGGAGUUGCUUUGUUGUACAAAAAUGUUACCUAUUCGUAUGUGGUUGUAUAGAAGGAUAGAAUUAUUAAUUGUCUAGUUAUGAUUUUUAGCAUUUGUUGUGCUUCCUAGGGACAUCGAUCUCUACUCUUCUAUAUAAUCCACAUUGAUCUUUAUUGUUUGAUUGACUGGAAGAAGUUUUGAUGUAGUUUUCUUAAUCAUGCAGGAGUUUACUUUGGAUGACAAAUGUUUGUAGAUCAUCCACCUCCUCAACGAUGCUAACCCGAUCCGAUCAUCGUCGACACUAUCAUCAUCAGGAUCUAAUGUUGUUUAGGCUGCUGCUGUUGUGACGGAAGAGCAGAAGAGGCAUGGCGAUGUGCAGCACAAUUUUAGUUGAUGUUGCACCAUGUUUUGGUGCUUGUGUAUUUGUUUUUGCUUGUAACCACACUUGUAUGUGCUUGUCUAUCUGUUUUUGCUUGUUUUAGUUGAUGUUGGACGUGCGGACUUGUAUGUGCUGUUGUGUGUGUUUGGCGGAAUGAUUUCUGAAUUUAAUCAUUUAAUCAAGAGAAUUAUUGAGUGUUUGCUGUU